UAAUUUUUUAAUUUAAAAGUAGGACGUCGGAAGAAACUGCCAAGAUUACAAAAUUAUGUGGAAGAGGUGAUACCUAGGUGGAAAGAUCAAGAAUUUUAGAAUAUCCAGAGACACUUUUGAGUUUGUACUCUUGAUAAUUGCCCCAAAACUUAAGAGAAAGUAUCCAGGGUUAGGAAUGAUCUCCCCAGAGAAACAGUUUUUUAUUGCUAUUUGGCGAAUGGCUACACCAGAUUCUUACAGAUCAAUAUGUGAAAAGUUUGAUGUGAGUCGAUCAACA